UACGUAGGGGGCUAGCGUUGUCCGGAAUCAUUGGGCGUAAAGCGCGCGUAGGCGGUCAGGUAAGUCCGGUGUGAAAGUCAAAGGCUCAACCUUUGAAUGCCGCUGGAUACUGCUUGACUUGAGUCCGGAAGGGGCGAGUGGAAUUCCUGGUGUAGCGGUGAAAUGCGCAGAUAUCAGGAGGAACACCAAUUGCGAAGGCAGCUCGCUGGGACGUUACUGACGCUGAGACGCGAAAGCGUGGGGAGCAAACAGG
rnacentral:rRNA from 1 species